AUUGAACGCUGGCGGCAGGCCUAACACAUACAAGUCGAACGGUAACGCGGGGCAACCUGGCGACGAGUGGCGAACGGGUGAGUAAUGUAUCGGAACGUGCCCAGUUGUGGGGGAUAACUGCUCGAAAGAGCAGCUAAUACCGCAUACGACCUGAGUGUGAAAGCGGGGGAUCGCAAGACCUCGCGCAAUUGGAGCGGCCGAUAUCAGAUUAGGUAGUUGGUGGGGUAAAGGCCCACCAAGCCAACGAUCUGUAGCUGGUCUGAGAGGACGACCAGCCACACUGGGACUGAGACACGGACCAGACUCCUACGGGAGGCAGCAGUGGGGAAUUUUGGACAAUGGACGCAAGUCUGAUCCAGCCAUGCCGCGUGCGGGAAGAAGGCCUUCGGGUUGUAAACCGCUUUUGUCAGGGAAGAAACGCUCUGGGUUAAUACCUCGGGGUAAUGACGGUACCUGAAGAAUAAGCACCGGCUAACUACGUGCCAGCAGCCGCAGUAA
rnacentral:rRNA from 1 species